rnacentral:rRNA from 1 species
AGUGAACGCUGGCGGUAGGCCUAACACAUGCAAGUCGAACGGCAGCACAGUAAGAGCUUGCUCUUACGGGUGGCGAGUGGCGGACGGGUGCGGAAUACAUCGGAAUCUACUUUUUCGUGGGGGAUAACGUAGGGAAACUUACGCUAAUACCUCAUACGACCUACGGGUGAACGCAGGGGAUCUUCUGACCUUGCGCGAUUGAAUGAGCCGAUGUCGGAUUAGCUAGUUGGCGGGGUAAAGGCCCACCAAGGCGACGAUCCGUAGCUGGUCUGAGAGGAUGAUCAGCCACACUGGAACUGAGACACGGUCCAGACUCCUACGGGAGGCAGCAGUGGGGAAUAUUGGACAAUGGGCGCAAGCCUGAUCCAGCCAUACCGCGUGGGUGAAGAAGGCCUUCGGGUUGUAAAGCCCUUUUGUUGGGAAAGAAAAGCAGCAGGUUAAUACCCCGCUGUUCUGACGGUACCCAAAGAAUAAGCACCGGCUAACUUCGUG